ACUCUUCUAUAUUCUAAUUCUUUUCAAUUUUUUGUUAAAUUUUCCUAAUUCUAUUCAAUAUUUAGAUGAUAGGUACAUAUUAAUUCAGUUUUGGCUUUUCUUUGUCAUCCCUUCUCCCCUUCCCCAAAUUGAGGUAUUCAGAGAAAACAAAUUCUCUUUUGUACAGUCUCCAUAUUAGAUUUUGUUAGUGUAGAAAUGUAUAACUCUUGCAAUGCAUGUCUGAAGUAUCAAUAUCUUGAAACCAAACGAAAAGUUGGCACUGUUUGUCAGAUGUAUUAUGUGGAUUUGUCUGUGUGCAUAUUUCGGUACUGGUGGAUACCAUAUUCAACAUCAGAUACAACCUUUUUUCUUUUGCAAUAUAAAUACAGUAAAAUAGAAAGUAAGGGCAUUCAAGAAUGGAACUUGGGACCUCUCGCACCCAAAUUGUGAAUCCAUACCACAUGCCCUGUUGUUGUUUAGUUUGUUUUGUUCUCUUCAUUUCAGAUUGUAGCUCUUAAAUUCUCUAGCUAUGAACCACUUUUACUGAGUGAAUGCUUCCAUUUCUGCUAAAGUGCUAACCAUCCUGGCUCUUUAAUCAUCUAAUGAAGACUGAAACUUACAGGAAUAUUUCCGUUAUCUUUCUGGUCACAAUCCUGCUUGUCUGACUUUGUUUAAUACUUUAAUACUUCUAUAAGUAUUUGAGAUGCAAUUUUGAAUUACAAAAUGUUGUGAAGAUAGCAGUAAAAGUGAUGUAGUUUUAACAUUUAGAUGUUUAUUUAUUUUCUUUCCUUUUAUAUUGUACUCCGUAUUACUUCUUUUCUUUGAAACUUGGUUUCUUUCAAGUCUAGUUAUCCCAAAAUUAGUUAGAAUUAGAUAUGCAAGAUUUAAAAAACGACCUAAUUCCAUUUCUCAACAAUCAGAUGAUUUUCCAGCCAACAAUGUGCCUGUAUUGGGAUACACCAAGGACAGUAUGUUCUGUCUAGUUUAGCAUAGAAGGGAUACACAAUAAUCUUCUAAACAUCUUUUUGCCGAGCUAACUCAAUAGAAAACUGCACAAUGGCCACAUUCUUCUAAUAAUCUAAUCUGAUGCUCCUAGUUUCCUCUGAAUCUCCAAAUAUCUUUUUAGAAGUAAGACUUGCAAAAGAAAUCAUUAUUGUCCCAUGGUCUUUCCAGAGCUAAGAUAACAUAUCCCAUGUCAGUUGUCCAUCUAUGAACAACCUGGCUUGAGAAGGUCAAGAUGUACAAUCCUAAAAACUAAAAGUAAAGAUAUACAAUCCAUUUCAGUAUUUCACUGCAGAUGCUGACAUCACUGAGAUAUCAAAGCUCCAAGCCACUAGACCAAUCCAUAAUAAAAACUAAACAGUUAAAAAUUUACCAGUUUAAAACCCUUGUGAAGUUAGAAGCUUCUUAAAGUAGAUAUCCUGUCAGAAAAUAAAAAUUCAAACAGAGGGGGGAAUAGGCAUACAAGUGACAUGACAGAUAAUAGAAAAAUUGCUAGUAAACACUAUAAAACAGCACAAAGGGAAGGGGCUUUCCCCCCAUCACAUGAACAUUAUUAUUCUAGACAUGAACUAAGAGAAAAAGAAAAGAAAAAUAAAGGCAGAACCAUGAACUGAUAAAACAAUAGGGUCAUGGUUUUCAUGGUUCUGUAGUAUUGAAGAAAAAACAUAUAGGAAUAACCAAGUGGCUACCAUCUAGUUAAUGUAAUCAUUUAGUCAAAAUGUUUAAUAUAAUCAGAUACAGAGUAAUAACUACUACCUUCGUGCAUAAUUAAUCGCUACAUUUUUCAUAAUCGGCUGUCACUAGAGGAAAAAUCCUUAUAGGUGGCUCAUCAAAGGUUGCUCUUAUCAAACAAGUGCCACCUUUAAGAAAUAAAAAAUUAAUUUUUUUUUUAAAAAUCUCAAAUCUUUCCCAAAAAACGCGCAUCCUUUAAUAGGAACUAAGAAAUUUUUUUGCCCAUGAGCCAACAUAGUACUGUGUAAACUCUCUCCCUGCAAACUUCACAACUCUCUCCUCCUUCUCAGGCCACCGACGAAACCACCAGCGAGGAAUACACACUGACACACUGACACACUCGCACCCUAAUUUAUUCGAAACCCUCUCCUCUUCCAAGCAAACCCACGAGGAGCUAGUGAGCUACCAGCCUACCCUCUCAGUCCUCCCAUCUUCAAUUCUCUAAACCUGCACCUUUCUUUCACGAAAGAUGGCCACCAAGGAUAAAGGGCUUUGUAAACUCGGAAUUCUGCCCGCGUUCACCACCGUCCCACCAUCUUCCAAUGGAGAUCCACUUGAGUUCAACUAUCACCAAAUAGCAAUCGCGUUUCUCACCACCACCACCACUGUCCGUUUUUCUUCGAAUUUAAGUGAAUUUAUGCACUACAGAGGUCUGGUAUCUUCAAUCCAACGAUUGUUUAUGAUCAUUUGGGAGAGAUAUAUUCAACACUGAUAUUUGGAAGCUUCAUCUUUUGCAUCUUAUUGUACAUAAAAGGGCAUGUUGCACCAUCUUCAUCUGAUUCCGGUUCUUGUGGAAACUUCAUAAUUGAUUUCUAUUGGAUAACUCUUUAUUUGACAAACGGUGAGUCGGACUUAUUUGGGGACGCACAAGAUGUUAUCGACUUAUACUAUAUUAGUUGUUUCUUUGUUGCAUUGUAGUAGUUAAUUAGUUAUUUAUCUUGCCAUCUGCAUAUUAUUAGAUAACAUUUUGUUAAAUUUUUAAGGCUAUUAGACAGUAUAUAUCACCUAUGUAAUGACUUACGACUUACUUUGUAUGAGUUAUUUAUUUAUAAAAUUAUUUUUAUCUUAUAAUUAUUUGUGAUUUUAAAUUUACACUCAUGUAUAAAUAUAAUUGUCAAUAUGCUUGAUAGUGGCAACUUUUGACAAGCCAUUGUAAAACUAAAUUAUAGUAUGAUCCAUUUUGUAGCGAUUAUAAUCGCCGCUA